rnacentral:lncRNA from 1 species
GCUUGAAAGUCUUAAUCAAAACACAACAAAAAACUCUGAAGGUUGAAAAGCCUUAUAGGAACAAGACAGAAGGCGUAAACUCACGCAAGCCUCAUACAAAAAAGAGAAACAAAAUGAGAAACAGAGGCAGCAAGACUAUCUACGCAGGCAACAAAAAUUUUAGGGUUCUUCACAAAUCACUAAUUCUUGAACUCAGGUAUAUAAAAUUCCCUAUUGUCAAUUAUCCUAAAGUAGUAGUAGGUAAGAAUUGAAUAGUUAAUUACCUUCUUCCUCUGUAUCAACAGUAAGUUCCAUGUUUAGGUUAAAAAUUUGAAAUUAAUUCAAAUGCACUGGUUGUUGUAGAAUCAAUUAUUUGACGGGUAU